AGUCGAACGACCUUCGGGUUAGUGGCGGACGGGUGAGUAACGCGUGGGAAUCUGCCCUCAGGAGGGGGAUAACGGUUGGAAACGGCCGCUAAUACCCCAUAUGCCGAGAGGUGAAAUGAAUUUCGCCUGAGGAUGAGCCCGCGUCUGAUUAGCUAGUUGGUGAGGUAAGAGCUCACCAAGGCAUCGAUCAGUAGCUGGUCUGAGAGGAUGAUCAGCCACACUGGGACUGAGACACGGCCCAGGCUCCUACGGGAGGCAGCAGUGGGGAAUUUUCCGCAAUGGGCGAAAGCCUGACGGAGCAACGCCGCGUGAGGGAUGAAGGCCUCUGGGCUGUAAGCCUCUUUUAUCAAGGAAGAAGAUCUGACGGUACUUGAUGAAUAAGCCACGGCUAAUUCCGUGCCAGCAGCCGCGGUAAUACGGGAGUGGCAAGCGUUAUCCGGAAUUAUUGGGCGUAAAGCGUCCGCAGGCGGCCCAACAAGUCUGCUGUUAAAAAGUGGAGCUUAACUCCAUCAUGGCAGUGGAAACUGGGGGCUCGAGUGUGGUAGGGGCAGAGGGAAUUCCCGGUGUAGCGGUGAAAUGCGUAGAUAUCGGGAAGAACACCAGUGGCGAAGGCGCUCUGCUGGGCCAUCACUGACGCUCAUGGACGAAAGCCAGGGGAGCGAAAGGGAUUAGAUACCCCUGUAGUCCUGGCCGUAAACGAUGAACACUAGGUGUCGGGGGAAUCGACCCCUCCGGUGUCGUAGCCAACGCGUUAAGUGUUCCGCCUGGGGAGUACGCACGCAAGUGUGAAACUCAAAGGAAUUGACGGGGGCCCGCACAAGCGGUGG
rnacentral:rRNA from 1 species